GCCGGGUGCAGUGGCACAUGUCUGUAAUCCCAGUGGCUCAGGAGGCUGAGGCAGGAGAAUCACUAGUUCAAAGCCAGCCUCAGCAAAAGUGAGGCACUAAGCAACUCAGUGAGACCCUGUCUCUA
rnacentral:sRNA from 1 species